rnacentral:rRNA from 1 species
UAGAGUUUGAUCAUGGCUCAGAUUGAACGCUGGCGGCAGGCCUAACACAUGCAAGUCGAGCGGUAGAGAGAAGCUUGCUUCUCUUGAGAGCGGCGGACGGGUGAGUAAUGCCUAGGAAUCUGCCUGGUAGUGGGGGAUAACGUUCGGAAACGGACGCUAAUACCGCAUACGUCCUACGGGAGAAAGCAGGGGACCUUCGGGCCUUGCGCUAUCAGAUGAGCCUAGGUCGGAUUAGCUAGUUGGUGGGGUAAUGGCUCACCAAGGCGACGAUCCGUAACUGGUCUGAGAGGAUGAUCAGUCACACUGGAACUGAGACACGGUCCAGACUCCUACGGGAGGCAGCAGUGGGGAAUAUUGGACAAUGGGCGAAAGCCUGAUCCAGCCAUGCCGCGUGUGUGAAGAAGGUCUUCGGAUUGUAAAGCACUUUAAGUUGGGAGGAAGGGUUGUAGAUUAAUACUCUGCAAUUUUGACGUUACCGACAGAAUAAGCACCGGCUAACUCUGUGCCAGCAGCCGCGGUAAUACAGAGGGUGCAAGCGUUAACCGGAAUUACUGGGCGUAAAGCGCGCGUAGGUGGUUUGUUAAGUUGGAUGUGAAAUCCCCGGGCUCAACCUGGGAACUGCAUUCAAAACUGACUGACUAGAGUAUGGUAGAGGGUGGUGGAAUUUCCUGUGUAGCGGUGAAAUGCGUAGAUAUAGGAAGGAACACCAGUGGCGAAGGCGACCACCUGGACUAAUACUGACACUGAGGUGCGAAAGCGUGGGGAGCAAACAGGAUUAGAUACCCUGGUAGUCCACGCCGUAAACGAUGUCAACUAGCCGUUGGGAGCCUUGAGCUCUUAGUGGCG